AGGUUUUAGGACUUGGUUAGGGUUUGGAUAGGAUUUGAUUUAGGAUUUAGGAUUUGGUUAGGAUUUAGUUAGGAUUGGUUUAGACUUUGGUUGGAAUUUUAUUUAGGGUUCAAGGUUUGAUUAAGAUUUGAUUUAGGUUUAGAAUUUGAUUAGGAUUUGAUUGAGAGUUUAAGAUUUGGUUUAGGAUUUGAUUAGGAUUUGAUUUAGGAUUUAGAGUUUGGUUAGGAUUUCAUUUAGGAUUUAGAUUUUGAUUAGGAUUUGGUUUAAGAUUUGAUUGGAAUUUGGUUUAGGAUUUGGUUGGGAUUUGGUUUAAGAUUUGUUUAGGAUUUGGUUAGGAUUUUAUUUAAGGUUUAGGAUUUGGUUUAGGAUUUAAGAUUUAGUUAAGAUUUUAUUUAAGGUUUAGGGUUUCAUUUAGGGUUUAAGAUUUUAUUAGGAUUUAUUUCGGAUUUAAGAUUUAAUUAGUCUUGGCCUAAAGUUUGAAUGAAGUCCAAUAGGAUUUUAAUUAGGAUUAAAUUAAGAUUGAAUUGAGAUGUAUUUGAGAUAUAUUUGUGAUCAUUCUAAUAUUUCUUUAAGUUUUCUUAUUGUUUCUUUGAAAUUUCUUUGAAGUUUUUUUGAAUUUG
rnacentral:lncRNA from 1 species